UUUCGGGUGCACCAAGGGAGAUACUCAAGGUCACUUUGUAACAACUUUAUUGGCAACUAGCCGGGAAGGACAACGACAACCACCUGGUGACUGGGCAGGCAGUAAGUGAGAUCUGUCCCCAGUUUGAAAAAUGCUGAGCUUCUCAGAUUCCCUUAUGAUUAGGAAUGGUCAAUGACAUAUCUAAUGUCUGGAUGGGAGGCAGCAAUAUUACAACUACAAGCACAAAAGUCACACGUUAAGGAUGGAGAAUCUGGAAAGUAGGAACCUGAAUUUUUCACUUUUUUUUGGAGUAAGCAGCCCUUAAUUGCCUAUUUAUGGAGUUCAUGUCACAUGAAAAAAAUAAAUCUCUAUUUGGCUAAGUCACUGAAGCCAGUUUCUGUUAUAUGCAGCUAAACACAACCCAAACUAAUAGAUAAUUUUGUAGACUUACAUCUCUGAAGAUCUUUGGCCUUUGGGCUGUGAUUACAGCUGAAGUGCCCCUUCUCCCCCCAAAUUUACAUUAAUUUACAUCUGUCUUUUCUUCCUUAUUUGAUGGUAUGGUAUGUCUGCUAGGGACCAAUCAGUAGACAAAAAAAAUACCUGUGAUUUGAACAGGGAAAAUUUAACAUAAAAAAAACGAUUAACCAGUGAAAGAUGCCUAAAAGGAGCAGAGUGGACUCUAAGGGGUCCAGUGGUACUCCUGUAGGCAUGGCUACUAACCCUGGCUGAAGAAGAACGUACAAGAAGAAGGAACCUGAGAAAUUUAGAGGAGAAUGUGUGACUGCCACAAGAAUGUGUAGUCCACCUGUGCUGAAGAAACUUGCUGGAAGCAUGGGCCGUAACUGAAUUGUGAGGACUGUAGAGGUGAAUACUACUAGGCCCUGCCUGCAAACCAAUCCACUGA